CCGUGGGGAAAAGCGGGAGUGGGUCAGACUCAAACGGUCAGACCCUGGCCGGGCCGGCAGUCAUCCAUAGAACUUGAGUGUGUGAGAAGCAAGAGAUACGUGAAACGAAAAGUGAAAGAAUCCGGACUUCUUUCUCUCUGCCUUGAGGCGGCAACUGGAAUUGACGUCAGAAGAAAACUGGAAAAGUGAUGGAAUCCGGACUUCUCUCUGCCUUGACGUGGCAACUGGAGCGACCCCAAAAGAAAACUGGGUAAUUAGAUUCCUUCCAGUUUUCAUUCCUUUUGGUCAUCCUGCUGCUCACCGCCCACUAUUAGCUAAUUCGAUUAUAUUACCUUUAUUGUUACCAUAUCUAAACAUUUGUAAGUAUUCGAAUGUAUUGCCAUUGUUGUAAGGGAUGAGAUUUCAUACAUAGCAUAAACGAAACAACCGUUGGCCAAUUUGAUGUAAACUGCUCUCUUUCUCUCUCUCUCUGUCUUUCUCAGUGGACUUGUUUUAAACCUGUUAUACUUCAUCUGCGGGACCAUUGUGGAAAUACAAUAUAUAUAUAU